rnacentral:rRNA from 1 species
AUUGAACGCUGGCGGCACGCCUAACACAUGCAAGUCGAGCGGCAGCGAGACUAGUAGCAAUACUAGUUGUCGGCGAGCGGCGGACGGGUGAGUAACACGUAGGAAUCUGCCCUUAAGCGGGGGAUAACCAAGGGAAACUUUGGCUAAUACCGCAUAAUCUCGAAAGAGCAAAGCUGCCCGCAAGGGUGGCACUUGAGGAGGAGCCUGCGUCCGAUUAGCUAGUUGGUGGGGUAAUGGCCUACCAAGGCGAUGAUCGGUAACUGGUCUGAGAGGACGACCAGUCACACUGGGACUGAGAAACGGCCCAGACUCCUACGGGAGGCAGCAGUGGGGAAUAUUGGGCAAUGGGGGCAACCCUGAUCCAGCGAUGCCGCGUGAGUGAAGAAGGCCUUCGGGUCGUAAAGCUCUUUAGGUUGGGAAGAAGGGUAUUGGCUGAAUAAUCCAGUACUUUGACGGUACCGACAGAAUAAGCACCGGCAAACUCUGUGCCAGCAGCCGCAGUAAAAC